ACGGAAGGUGCAAGCGUUGCUCGGAAUCACUGGGCGUAAAGGGUGCGUAGGCGGCCGUGUAAGUCUGGCGUGAAAGCCCCGGGCUCAGCCCGGGAAGUGCGCUCGAAACUGCGCGGCUCGAGUGCCGGAGGGGAGAGUGGUAUUCCUGGUGUAGCGGUGAAAUGCGUAGAUAUCAGGAGGAAUACCGAUGGCGAAGGCAGGUCUCUGGGCUGACACUGACGCUCAUGCACGAAAGCGUGGGGAGCAAACAGGA
rnacentral:rRNA from 1 species